rnacentral:rRNA from 1 species
GCUUAAAGAGGGGCUUGCGCCACAUUAGUUAGUUGGUAGAGUAAAAGCCUACCAAGACGAUGAUGUGUAGCUGGACUGAGAGGUUGAACAGCCACAUUGGGACUGAGACACGGCCCAAACUCCUACGGGAGGCAGCAGUAGGGAAUUUUCGGCAAUGGAGGAAACUCUGACCGAGCAACGCCGCGUGAACGAUGAAGUAUUUCGGUAUGUAAAGUUCUUUUAUUGAAGAAGAAAAAGUAGUGGAAAAACUAUAUUGACGUUAUUCAAUGAAUAAGCCCCGGCUAACUAUGUGCCAGCAGCCGCGGUAAGACAUAGGGGGCGAGCGUUAUCCGGAAUUAUUGGGCGUAAAGGGUGCGUAGGCUGUUAGAUAAGUCUAUAAUUUAAUUUCAGUGCUUAACGCUGUCUUGUUAUAGAAACUGUCUUGACUAGAGUGAGAUAGAGGCAAGCGGAAUUCCAUGUGUAGCGGUAAAAUGUGUAAAUAUAUGGAGGAACACCAGAAGCGUAGGCGGCUUGCUGGGUCUUUACUGACGCUGAGGCACGAAAGCGUGGGUAGCAAACAGGAUUAGAUACCCUGGUAGUCCACGCCGUAAACGAUGAGUACUAAGUGUCGGGGUAAAACUCGGUACUGAAGUUAACACAUUAAGUACUCCGCCUGAGUAGUACGUACGCAAGUAUGAAACUUAAAGGAAUUGACGGGACUCCGCACAAGCGGUGGAUCAUGUUGUUUAAUUCGAAGAUACACGAAAAAUCUUACCAGGUCUUGACAUACUCUGCAAAGCUAUAGAAAUAUAGUGGAGGUUAUCAGGGAUACAGGUGGUGCAUGGUUGUCGUCAGUUCGUGUCGUGAGAUGUUAGGUUAAGUCCUAAAACGAGCGCAACCCUUGUCGUUAAUUGCCAGCACAUAAUGGUGGGGACUUUAACGAGACUGCCAAUUAAACAUUGGAGGAAGGUGAGGAUUACGUCAAAUCAUCAUGCCCCUUAUGAUCUGGGCUACAAACGUGAUACAAUGGCUGUGACAAAGAGUAGCUGAAACGCGAGUUUUUAGCCAAUCUCAAAAAAGCAGUCUCAGUUCGGAUUGAAGUCUGUAACUCGACUUCAUGAAGUUGGAAUCGCUAGUAAUCGCGAAUCAGCAUGUCGCGGUGAAUACGUUCUCGGGGUUUGUACACACCGCCCGUCAAACCACGAAAGUUAGCAAUACCCGAAAGCAGUAGCUUAACUUCGCAAGAAGAGGGAACUGUCUAAGGUAGGGUUGAUGAUUGGGGUUAAGUCGUAACAAGGUAUCCCUACCGGAAGGUGGGGAUGGAUCACCUCCUUUCU